AAUUCUCAACUCCUCUCGAUCGACUUCGAGUGGAGCUUGGAUGGUGGGGGCUGCCGGAGACCUGAAUAUUCGUGUUCGGGACUCGGGCUCCUCUGAAAUGUAUUGGCUUGCGGUCUGUUUUCGACUUUGCAUGACAAGGCUUUUGGCGUGAUAAUGAUCGCCGCUCGCCGAAGUGCAUGAAUGAAACCGUGCCGUGCCUCUAAUCCGUCGAUGCCUCUAUGGGGCGUCUUCUUUAUGC
rnacentral:misc_RNA from 1 species